rnacentral:rRNA from 1 species
UACGGAGGGUGCAAACGUUGCUCGGAAUCAUUGGGCGUAAAGCGCACGUAGGCGGCCUGAUAAGUCGGGUGUGAAAGCCCUGGGCUCAACCCAGGAAGUGCACUCGAAACUGUCAGGCUUGAAUAUGGAAGAGGGUCGCGGAAUUCCCGGUGUAGAGGUGAAAUUCGUAGAUAUCGGGAGGAACACCUGUGGCGAAAGCGGCUCACUGGACCAUAACUGACGCUGAUGCACGAAAGCUGGGGGAGCAAACAGG